CCACUAUCAAGUUUUCUCUAAUUUUUGAGCUUUCACCUCCUCUCGAGACCUCUGUAGCCUUUGAGCUUUCUCCAUUCAAGAUGGUACACUCGAGAAUAAAGUCCACCAGCACUUGGGCCUUGAUAGCAGGCCUUGGAUGGUACUGCACAUCCAGCUCGGCAAGUUCCAGUGCCUACUUUACAAUCUAUCUUGAGGUAUUCAGACGGUGGAGAAUGGCCU
rnacentral:lncRNA from 1 species